rfam:Gossypium raimondii Chr11_contig_79, whole genome shotgun sequence.
UGUUAAAAAAUUCAUCAAUUUAUGUUGUUAAAAACUGGGUGGUUGAUCGAAUAACUAGACAAUAAUGUAUAACGUGUCACGUAUAUCUCAUGUAGACAUACAAUGGCCGGUUUUUAGUGGUAGAAAUGAAUGAAUUUUUUAACA